rnacentral:tRNA from 1 species
GGAGAGAUGGCAGAGUGGUUUAAUGCACCGGUCUUGAAAAUCGGCAUACCGCAAGGUAUCGGGGGUUCGAAUCCCUCUCUCUCCGCCA